AGAGUUUGAUCCUGGCUCAGAUUGAACGCUGGCGGCGGCUUACACAUGCAAGUCGAGCGGUAGCACAGAGAGCUUGCUCUUGGGUGACAAGCGGCGGACGGGUGAGUAACGCGUAGGAAUCUGCCUGAUAGUGGGGGAUAACGUUCGGAAACGGACGCUAAUACCGCAUACGUCCUACGGGAGAAAGCAGGGGAUCUUCGGACCUUGCGCUAUCAGAUGAGCCCAGGUCGGAUUAGCUUGUUGGUGAGGUAACGGCUCACCAAGGCUGCGAUCCGUAACUGGUCUGAGAGGAUGAUCAGUCACACUGGAACUGAGACACGGCCCAGACUCCUACGGGAGGCAGCAGUGGGGAAUAUUGGACAAUGGGCGCAAGCCUGAUCCAGCCAUGCCGCGUGUGUGAAGAAGGCCUUCGGGUUGUAAAGCACUUUCAGAAGGGAGGAAAGGUUGUGUGUUAAUAGCGCAUAGCUGUGACGUUACCUUCAGAAGAAGCACCGGCUAACUCCGUGCCAGCAGCCGCGGUAAUA
rnacentral:rRNA from 1 species